UUUUUUUUUUUUUUAACUUGAGUUAUUAUAUUUUCUGUUCUACAAAUUCCACUAGUUUUUCUAUAUAGCUUCUAUUUUUUGUUGUUGAGACUCUAUCUUUUCAUUCAUUUCAAGAGUGUUUACCCUCAUUUAUUAGUGUGUUUUUAUAAUAACUGUUUUAAAAUCUUAGUUUGACAAUUCCAGCAUCUGUGUCAUCUUACCAUUAAAUCCUGGUUGUUCGUAAAUUGAGUAACUUUGCAUUAUAUCCAAGAUAUUUUGAAUAUUAUGUUAUUAGAGGCCAGGUCUUUAAAUCUCAUGGAGAAUGUUUCUACUUUUUGUUUUAGCAAUCAACCUGCUUCCAUUCAGGUUGCAAAUUCUGACCAGCCUUCUGUGAGCUGUGCUUUCAAUAUCAGUUGUUUUCAAAGCCUUUGUGAUACAGUUUGGAUCUGUCUAGAGUGUGUGCAACCCAGUGGCCAUUCUUUGACCUUUACAUUGUUCUAUAUCUCUGUUCAGUUCUCAAAAUCUUUUGUGUAAUGUUUAAAAUCAUAUCCAUGCAGACACAGGUUUGGAAUGAUUUCAGGAAUUCAUAAACAACUUUAUGGGGUCACUUUCACAAGCUCAUCCUCUGUGAUCUCCCCAGUUUUCUCCUACUUCCCUAGGGCUCCCUUUUCCAGUUCUCUAGCCAGACAUAACCAUAAUUCAUCUGAAGCAUAGUGGGGAUCUUCUGACAUAGAAUACCCCAUUACCUGACAGUUCUUCCAGAAUAACAUUUACCAACCACCUACCAUGGGCUAGGUUCUAGUCUAAGGACUUAACGUAUAUUAUCUCACUUAACUCUCACAAAAACUCUAUGAAUAAGGUAUUACUAUUAUUGCCAUUUCUCUUUUAUAGAUUGGGAACCUGAGGCCCAUAAAGGGUAAACCUUUAACCCAAGGAUGCACAACUAUAUAUGGUGGAAUAAGUAAUGGGCCAAGAUUUGAACACAAAGAAGUUGUCUUAACUAUUACACAGUUCUGCAACUAUAAUGUGAUCUCAUUGUAUGAGCCAUUCUUCUAUACUCCUACCCUGCUUUGCACACACUUUCAUUAAAUCAAUUAUGCAUAAUUAUUUAAAAUAAAUAAAAAUAAUUUUAUGCCACUAUCACCAGAAGCAAUGAUUCUCUCUUUUCAAAUUUGAAUUAUCGUCAAGCACCAAGUGUAUUAGUUCCCUAGGGCUGCCAUAACAAAUUACCACAAACUAGGUGGCUUAAAAUAAAAGAAAUUUAUUCUCUUACAGUUCUGGAGCCCAGAAGUCUCAAAUCAAGGUGUCAGCAGAUCUGUACUCCCCUUGGAGGCUCUAGGGCACAAUCCUUCCUUGCCUCUUCCUUGCCUCUGCCAUUUGGUGGCUGUUAGCAUUCUUUGUGGCUCUAUCACUCCAGUCUCUGCCUCCAUCUUCAUAUGGUUUUGUCCCCUGUAUGUCUGUGUCUUCACCUCUUAUGUCGUGUGUCUCUGAUCUGUGCGUUUCUUAUAAGGACACUCAUCAUUAUAUUUAGGAUCUGUCUCAAUAAUACACAAGAUACACAAUCAUCUCCUCUUGAGAUUCUUAAUGUAAUUAUGUCUGCAAAGACCCUUGUUCCAAAUAAAUCACAUUCACAGCUUCUGAGACGUAUCUUUAACCCACUGUACCUAACACAGACCAUGUUAUUGCUCAGUAAAUACUGUAUUAGUCAGACAUUUCUCCACUAAAUGACAUAAAUCCAAUUCAGACUAGCUUAAGCAAAAAGGUAACUUUCUUGUUCACAUAACUGGCAAGCUGGAGGGUACUUCUGGCAUCAAACAAGGUUGCAUCCAAGGAGUCAACAGUAUCUUUCAGUCUUUCCACCUUUCAAUUUUUCUUUCAUAUGGGUACUACUUUAUUUUCAAGAAGAUCCGCCAUCAAAAAGAAGAGAAAUCUUUAUUUUGUCACCAUCCAUAUAUCAAAUCUUGGUGAAGGUUUUGAUUAUUUCUGCUUAGUUCACAUGCCCACCCUGAAUGAAUCACUAUAACCAGAGGAAUGGAGUUGUUUGAUUGGCCAAUCAUUCCAUGACCUCUCUGUGGCUGGGAUAUGUGGUGGCAGAUGGAGGCCAGGAGAGAGGCAUUGUGAUUAAUAUCCUACCAGAACCACAUAGAAUGGAGGUGAGUCAGUUCUCCAGGGGAGGAGACAUUGAGAAGGCCAAUAAUAUCUGGCUGCUGUAACAUCCAAGUCUGUGGUAUUUGGAGGCCCAAGUGCAUUGCUGAUGAAAGACUUAAUAAGUCUUUCCUAUGUGUAUCUUUGAUGAUCUUUUCAUAUGCUUAAUUAGCUUAAUCCAAGAGACUUUAUCCUACUCAUCUCUGAGGCUUGUCAUCUUCAGACUCUCUCUAGAAAUUAUGUAUUUAGAAUAUAGAUGCACAGGGGAGGUCCCCUUUCUAUUUACAAGUUUGGGUUUGCAGUGCCUCAGAGACCCCUGCCUAUUCCCAAGGUGCUUCACUGUAGGUAGGAGGGACAACAUCAAGACGCUGGCUUUGUGGGGCAAACAGCUCCAAAAGUCUCAUCGGGAUUCCAGCUCAAGCCUUCCCUGUUUCCCAACACCCUUGCACUCCAAGUUUUCAAAAUGCCCUUACAAAGGCAUGACCCUGCUGUAGCCCUGAAGUCAUUACUACGUAGGUCAUCCUGCUCCCUACCUACAGACGUUGAUUGUGGCUGGAACCAGAAAAUCUCUUUAGAGUAUGGACUCACCUCCUCUAUGACCUCAUGUUGAGGACUCUGUGGGGUCAGGGCUCAAGUGCAUUCUAAAGCACAGGAUGCUGGGUAUCCAGAAAGACUUCUGCCCUUUUCUCUGACAGUAUCUCCCAUCCCACUCCCAGUCACACUCCCCAACUCUUCUUUUAAGCCUCCUUACUUCUGUCAGUUUGCAUCAUCCCAGAUCAGCCUAUGUUCUGAGAGGACUUUUGUCCAAGUUCCCUUGACUCGGGGGCUCCCCUGUGGUAGUAUAUUAUCUCCUGUUCUCUUAGCCCUCAGCAGACUUACAUCCUGUAGCAGAUGCAUCUGGUGCCCUGUCACAUGUUCUAGUGGUCAAACAUCUGACUCCAGCAAUGGCCAGGCUGGACAGUUCUAUGUGAAUUAAGGUUCACGUGCCUCACCAAGAGUAAGCAGCACGCCUUUGUUCUCUGCCCCAAGGCACUUAGAAGGCUCAGGACACUGCAUGCCCAGCUCAGAAGUUCAGGAAUGUCAACACAUACACAAAGACAGCCCUCAACCAAUGGCAGAUGGGAGCCAGUGAAUUAAUGUUCCUGCCUCCUAUGUUUCAGAUGAAUAUUUUUUGGAGGUAUCCUGGGUGCUUUGUAGGAGGUCCUGGCAGAACUGGCCCCUGCUAAUGUACCUUUACAUUGGCUUUCUCUACACCCCUGCUCACACUCCCCGCUCCUACACUCCCACCCACUGGAAUCACUUCUCCCAACAAACUACCUGUUCUCAAAUAUUCGUUUCAGGCUCUGCUUUGAGCAGCCCAAGUAAGACACAGCCUCACUUGCCAGCCAAAAGGGGUAUGACCCCAGUGGAUGUCCAGCCCUCACUGUUUCUCUCCUUGCAGAGCCCAGAGACAGCAGCCUGGGAGCUGGCUUUAGUUGGGGAUGGAGGAAUAGUGAAGGAGGAAGGAGGGAGAAGGGGAGGCCAAGAGUCUGAGCAAGGAGUCAGGAUGGGAUGGUGGGGAGGGUCUAGGCUAUGUCCUGUCACCACUCUUACUGACGGUAUCACAUAACUGCAUCCCACAGUGUGCUAGAUUUGAAAUCCUAGCUCUGCCACUUCCUGGUAGUGUCAACUAGAUCACCCUGAAUUUGCCCUUUCACCUUCUCGGGGGUCAUCUUUUGACCUGGUGGAGUAUAUUCCCCCUGUCUGUAAUUUACUGAAUUGUCUGUUAAUCAGCCACAAAGCCAAGCAUCUUGGUCUCUGUGGUUGAUUACUCUACCAGUAGUGAGAGAGCUUUUUUUAGGACUUGUUUUUUCCUACAGUCACCUCCCCUUAAGAACCCAGCACACUCCUCAGAAUUGCUGGUUUCCUGGGUCCCCGGACUAAGCUCCUAUUCCCAGAUCGCUUCCCUCUUCUAGGCGGUAUUCUACCACACGGCAAGUGAGGAGAAGUCCAGGUGCCCGGAGUGUUCAGCUGGCCCCUCUCCUGAGGCCGAUGCUCAUUCUCGCUGCCUGUGACUGAAGUGCUAACAGGAGCAGCGCCAGGGCCCUUGUUGCAGGGCCUUCACUGCCUUCUCGCUGUGUUUACACUAGUCGCCCAGCUUGACAAUCCCCCGUCAUCUCUGAAACGAGCCCUGGAAACUUUGGCCCAGCCCAGCAUUCACAGAUGAUUCCUCAUAUCUUUCAUCUCCCAGGCCCAGAGGACAAACUCUUUUCCUUUGUGUUCUAUUUUGACAUUAUUCUGCCUCUUUGUUCCCAUUUUAGGGCAGUGUGAGGGGAGCUCUGUGCAUUAGCUUUUGCGGGCUUUAAUGAAGCAGGAUUUGACAGCAUUUCAUAUCAGGUAUCAUCUUUUGUGUGCAUGGGGAGAAGGGCUGAGAAAUGUUCCUUUAACUGGUGCCAGAAGAGAAGGCAGAGAAAGACAAGAAAAAAAAUCUGAUAACUACUUUUUUCCAUUAAAGUCCCAGCCCCUUUCUAAAACAGGCUAUUCGUCUAUAUUUCAAAUCAGUUGGGAAUCCUAUCUUUCCACAACAGCAUUUCCUUACUUCCUGGAAACAUUUAUCACAGGAUGUAUAAUAAAUGUUUAUGCUAGCCGUAAAGAGGAAAGUAACAUUUCAUAAAAUUUACCAUAGACCCCAAGGUGAAUUUAAUAUAGGAGCCUGAGUGACGAAUCCCAAAGCAAGUGAAUUUGGGCUUAAAGCCCAUCCUGAACUGACUUCAUUAUGCAUCGCUGAUGUUCGGGGGAAAAAAAUUCAACAGCAAAACUUCCUGAGAUCCCCACAUGGAUGAAUCGAAGUGAGGCUCUCACAUUAACCCUGCACUUUCCUACUUGUCGUUCCAAUGCCCCACAUGAAGGACGAUGACUGAGCAGUUGGCAGGUGGCUGCUCUCUGUGCCCUUGAAGGAUGGAACAAGAGGAAACAGCUGAAAAUGGCCACAAGAUGAGGUCUGCUGACAGACCACUUCAAUUACACAGAAAGGACUGCUUCGUCCAGGGAUAAAGAGGCUAUCACGAGUCAGCCUUGGCUCAACAUGGCAGGUGCACUUAGCCACUGAAACCAGGACUGUUGUAGACCAGAGCAUGCCUUUGUGACAGUCCAUUAAUAGAACAGAGGGUUUUCUGCUCAGGCUAGUUGAGGCCCACUCCAACUAGAGUCCGGGACAAGUGUGAUUCACUUGCCUGCGGAAGCCGAAAGAGGUCCAUGUUUCUUUGUGAAUCACAGUACCUGGGAUUGGACUCCAGGGCUUUUCUAGAAACUAUAGGAGGAGCCAUACUGAGGAAAUGGGAAUCAGGAAACUCCUUUUCCUACACUUAUUCUGCAGGUGCUGUUUUAUGAGUGGCCAGGAGAAAAAAAUCCUACGCAUACGAUCUGAUAGGAGUUAUUUCCAGGUGGUCUGAAACUUCAAAUAAAUAGCUCCUGAAAAAAAAAAAGUCUCUGGCCUGAGGGAACAUGACAGAACCCUGAGUACAGCCCAGCAGGGGGAUAGACAGCCUGUGCCACUGUCAUCUGGCCAGAGGAGGACAAUCUGGGGAACUAGGCAGAUCUUGAGCCAAAGCCAACUGGCUCUGAGAUUCAUUCCUUCCCACUCUCCCUUCUUGGUCCCAGCAAACUCACCCUAUUCAUUUUUAUUGUGGGGAAAACAAGAUCAACUGGAAAUAGCACAUAUCUGGAGGGAAGGAAAGCACAGUUCAUCCAGGGAGAAUGUUUUCUAUGGCGAACACCACACUGAAGAUGUCUCCCUUACAGCUUGGAAGGCAGUGCGACUAGGCUGAGGCCAGCACAAAAUUUAAGGAGGUACUUAACUCUGAAGGCUUGCCUCUGCACUUGCACUACCUUGAGAGUCCCUGACUCCUUAAAUUUUGCCCCUGGGCACCUUGGCUGCUUUGCUCUGCCUGGUUAGGGAAGGAUACCUAACCUGGGCCACCAGGUGACCUGUGAGUAGCUGCCCUUUCUUCUGAUGGGCUGCUUGUGGCUGACACAGUCCUGAAGGGGCCCAAAGUGACCCCAGAGAAGAGAUGUGGGGAGUUCCCAUUGUGGCUCAGUGGAAACGAAUCUGACUGGCAUCCAUGAGGAUAAAGGUUCGAUCCCUGGCCUUGCUCUGUGGGUUAAGGAUCCAGCGUUGCCAUGAGCUGUGGUGUGGGUCACAGACAUAACUUGGAUCUGAUGUUGCUGUGGCUGUGGCUGGAGAUUCGACAUACAGCUCUGACUUGACCCCUAGGCUGGGAACCUCCAUAUGCCGCAGGUGCAGCCCUAAAAAGAAGACAAAAAAAAAAAAAAGAGAGAGAGAGAGAGAGAGAGAGAGAUUUGGGUCAUUUAAGGCCCAUGGCAGCCACAACCUGAACAAGUUGUAAAAGGAUAAUUUUUCAUUGAAAGCUGCACUUGUCCUUGAGGUAUCAAAAAGUGGAUGCUGUGUGAUGCCAGGCCCUCACUGCCCCCACUGGAAGAUGCUUUGCCAGCCAAGGAAGGGGAUUUAACUAACUGUGUCUGGGCUUUGGACUCUACCAUGCUAUCCCAAGGGCUAAUUUCUGGAUCCAAAAUUAGCAGAACCACCAAGGACUUCCCUUUCGAGCACUUAACUCAGAGAACCGCUCAGUGGCCAGUGCAAGGGAACAGACUCAACUUUGCAAAUGUAUGUUUUUAAGCUUGAGUGGUCUUUUGUUUCAUUCUCUGAUGAUGUCAAGUUCCAGCAAUGUGCUCUCUCCUCCCAGCGUGCUGGAAAUGGGAGAGAAAGACAAGCACUGUCCACAGUGCACGCGGGUCCAGUGAAGCAAAAAGCCUCCCCUCCCAUCUUGACUAGGGAGGCUGCGUGCUGUUAAGUGAGGAGCCAGCGGGCCCAGCCCUGGCAGACCAGUAACCAUGCAGUUAGGUAGCAGCGGUUGCUGGAGCUCUCCACAAUCCCUCAGCCAAUCCUUCCUCCUGCUCUGAGACCUGGGGAGCCCCGCAGGGCUGCCUCAGCCCAGUGCUGCUCUAUAGAGAUGGACAGGGCUGCUCUGACCCUCCUGGCUGCAAGUGCCAGCAUGGAGCCAAAAAGCAUGUAGAUUUAACGGUCAUAUUUUAACCAUUAAAGUGAAGAGAGAUGAAACCCAAAUAGUGGCUCUAAAACCAGAAAUCUGGGGGCUUUGAGGGGUCAGGAAUUGGUACUGUUUAUAACCUCCAUGGUGGUUGGUUGUUCUUCACACCAAAGUUUGAGGACCACUGAGCUGAAGUGCCCCCUCCCCCGCAUCUCCAGGAUCUCCCAAACAGACCAGAUCCCGGGAGGCAUGCUGAGUACUUACUAAAAAUUCAGAUUCCUAGGCCCAUCAAUGGGUGACCUGAAUCCAUAGGGCAGAAAUGGAAACAUCCCCUGGCAGGUGGAUGUGGAGACUGAGAUACCAAAACCAAUUCUUCCUGCCCUUCCUGCCCUCCCCGCUCCAGUGCCAGGCGAGUGAGCUGAGAACUAUGACCCCAGGCCGAGGCUGUACACGUAAAUGUUGGGUGCGCAGGCUCUGGGUUUGAAU
rnacentral:lncRNA from 1 species